CCUACGGGUGGCUGCAGUGAGGAAUAUUGGUCAAUGGGCGCGAGCCUGAACCAGCCAAGUAGCGUGAAGGAUGACUGCCCUACGGGUUGUAAACCUCUUUUAUAAAGGAAUAAAGCGCGGCACGUGUGCCUUUUUGCAUGUACCUUAUGAAUAAGCAUCGGCUAACUCCGUGCCAGCAGCCGCGGUAAUACGGAGGAUCCGAGCGUUAUCCGGAUUUAUUGGGUUUAAAGGGAGCGUAGAUGGGUUGUUAAGUCAGUUGUGAAAGUUUGCGGCUCAACCGUAAAAUUGCAAUUGAUACUGGCAGUCUUGAGUACAGUUGAGGUAGGCGGAAUUCGUGGUGUAGCGGUGAAAUGCUUAGAUAUCACGAAGAACUCCGAUUGCGAAGGCAGCUUACUAAACUGCCACUGACAUUGAUGCUCGAAAGUGUGGGUAUCAAACAGGAUUAGAUACCCCGGUAGUC
rnacentral:rRNA from 1 species